rnacentral:rRNA from 1 species
GAUGAACGCUGGCGGCGUGCCUAAUACAUGCAAGUCGAGCGAAUGGAUUAAGAGCUUGCUCUUAUGAAGUUAGCGGCGGACGGGUGAGUAACACGUGGGUAACCUGCCCAUAAGACUGGGACAACUCCGGGAAACCGGGGCUAAUACCGGAUAACAUUUUGAACCGCAUGGUUCGAAAUUGAAAGGCGGCUUCGGCUGUCACUUAUGGAUGGACCCGCGUCGCAUUAGCUAGUUGGUGAGGUAAUGGCUCACCAAGGCAACGAUGCGUAGCCGACCUGAGAGGGUGAUCGGCCACACUGGGACUGAGACACGGCCCAGACUCCUACGGGAGGCAGCAGUAGGGAAUCUUCCGCAAUGGACGAAAGUCUGACGGAGCAACGCCGCGUGAGUGAUGAAGGCUUUCGGGUCGCAAAACUCUGUUGUUAGGGAAGAACAAGUGCUAGUUGAAUAGGCUGGCACCUUGACGGUACCUAACCAGAAAGCCACGGCUAACUACGUGCCAGCCGCCGCAGUAA